ACCCGAAGGCGGGCGAGCUUUCCCUGAACAGGUUGAAGACCGGUGAAGAACCGCGUUGGAGGGCCGAACCCGUGACCGUAGUAAAGGUCUGGGAUGAUUUAGGGAAAGGAGUGAAAGGCUAAUCAAGCCCGCGCAUAGCUGG
rnacentral:ncRNA from 1 species